GACGAACGCUGGCGGCGUGCUUAACACAUGCAAGUCGAACGAAGUGGCGAACGGGUGAGUAACGCGUAAUCAACCUGCCCUUCAGAGGGGGACAACAGUUGGAAACGACUGCUAAUACCGCAUACUGAAGGAGGGGAUUGCGUCUGAUUAGCUAGGUGGGGGGGUAACGGCCCACCAAGGCGAUGAUCAGUAGCCGGUCUGGGAGGAUGAACGGCCCAAUUUGGACUGGGACACGGCCCAGAACUCUACGGGAGGCAGCCGUGGGGAAUCUUCCGACAUGGACGGAAGUCUGACGGAGCAACGCCGCGUGAGUGAUGACGGCCUUCGGGGUGUAAAGCUCUGUUAAUCGGGACGCGGUACCGGAAUAGAAAGCCACGGCUAACUACGUGCCAGCAGCCGCGGUAAUAC
rnacentral:rRNA from 1 species